GGCUCAGGACGAACGCUGGCGGCGUGCCUAGUACAUGCAAGUCGAACGGUCUUUCUAUGGAAGCUUGCUUCCACUGAGAAGAUAGUGGCGAACGGGUGAGUAACACGUGGGUAACCUGCCCAUAAGAGGGGGGAUAACAUCCGGAAACGGGUGCUAAUACCGCAUAGUUUUCUUGAUCGCAUGAUCGGGAAAGGAAAGACGGCCUUUGUGCUGUCGCUUAUGGAUGGACCCGCGGCGUAUUAGUUAGUUGGUGAGGUAACGGCUCACCAAGACGAUGAUACGUAGCCGACCUGAGAGGGUGAUCGGCCACAUUGGGACUGAGACACGGCCCAAACUCCUACGGGAGGCAGCAGUAGGGAAUCUUCCGCAAUGGACGAAAGUCUGACGGAGCAACGCCGCGUGAGUGAAGAAAGGUUUUCGGAUCGUAAAACUCUGUUGUCAGAGAAGAACAAGUUGGAGAGUAACUGCUCCAGCCUUGACGGUAUCUGACCAGAAAGCCACGGCUAACUACGUGCCAGCAGCCGC
rnacentral:rRNA from 1 species